CUAAGAGGCUAUUUAAGAAUUCACCAAAAAAGCCUAUUCACAGAAGGUGGUACAGUCUGAUGUCCUGAUUAACCAGAUUAAUGAGGUGGCUAUUGAAGCAUUCACUAUCAGGAAGUCCGCAGACUGCAGCCACCUGUGGAACAGACACAUGGUUGUCCAUCUCGUGCAUGGACAAACAUGGCCUACGUGGGCUGACCAUGGUGGCCCACACACUUGUGGAGAACAACCCCCAGGAAUGCAUAUUAGAGGGAGUCUUUGCAUGUGGGAAACCAGUUGCCACUGGACGUGGAGGGCAUCCUCUGGAAGGCGAAGCUCCCAUUAAGAGUUUCAGCAGCCGUCAUCACC